GACGAACGCUGGCGGCGUGCUUAACACAUGCAAGUCGAACGGAAAGGCCCUGCUUUUGUGGGGUGCUCGAGUGGCGAACGGGUGAGUAACACGUGAGUAACCUGCCCUUGACUUUGGGAUAACUUCAGGAAACUGGGGCUAAUAUCGGAUAGGAGCUCCUGCUGCAUGGUGGGGGUUGGAAAGUUUCGGCGGUUGGGGAUGGACUCGCGGCUUAUCAGCUUGUUGGUGGGGUAGUGGCUUACCAAGGCUUUGACGGGUAGCCGGCCUGAGAGGGUGACCGGCCACAUUGGGACUGAGAUACGGCCCAGACUCCUACGGGAGGCAGCAGUGGGGAAUAUUGCACAAUGGGCGGAAGCCUGAUGCAGCAACGCCGCGUGCGGGAUGACGGCCUUCGGGUUGUAAACCGCUUUCGCCUGUGACGAAGCGUGAGUGACGGUGAUGGGUAAAGAAGCACCGGCUAACUACGUG
rnacentral:rRNA from 1 species